GAUGAACGCUGGCGGCGUGCCUAAUACAUGCAAGUCGAGCGAACAGACGAGGAGCUUGCUCCUCUGACGUUAGCGGCGGACGGGUGAGUAACACGUGGAUAACCUACCUAUAAGACUGGGAUAACUUCGGGAAACCGGAGCUAAUACCGGAUAAUAUAUUGAACCGCAUGGUUCAAUAGUGAAAGACGGUUUUGCUGUAACUUAUAGAUGGAUCCGCGCCGCAUUAGCUAGUUGGUAAGGUAACGGCUUACCAAGGCAACGAUGCGUAGCCGACCUGAGAGGGUGAUCGGCCACACUGGAACGGAGACACGGUCCAGACUCCUACGGGAGGCAGCAGUAGGGAAUCUGCCGCAAUGGGCGAAAGCCUGACGGAGCAACGCCGCGUGAGUGAUGAAGGUCUUCGGAUCGUAAAACUCUGUUAUUAGGGAAGAACAAAUGUGUAAGUAACUAUGCACGUCUUGACGGUACCUAGUCAGAAAGCCACGGCUAACUACGUG
rnacentral:rRNA from 1 species